rnacentral:rRNA from 1 species
AGAUGAGAUGAGUAUUCUAAGGCGCGUGAAAGAACUCUGGUUAAGGAACUCUGCAAACUAGCACCGUAAGUUCGCGAUAAGGUGUGCCACAGCGAUGUGGUCUCAGCAAAGAGUCCCUCCCGACUGUUUACCAAAAACACAGCACUUUGCCAACUCGUAAGAGGAAGUAUAAGGUGUGACGCCUGCCCGGUGCUCGAAGGUUAAGAGGAUGCGUCAGUCGCAAGAUGAAGCGUUGAAUUGAAGCCCGAGUAAACGGCGGCCGUAACUAUAACGGUCCUAAGGUAGCGAAAUUCCUUGUCGGUUAAAUACCGACCUGCAUGAAUGGCGUAACGAGAUGGGAGCUGUCUCAACCAGAGAUUCAGUGAAAUUGUAGUGGAGGUGAAAAUUCCUCCUACCCGCGGCAAGACGGAGAGACCCCGUGGACCUUUACUACAACUUAGCACUGCUAACGGGAAUAUCAUGCGC